CAGUCGAGUAGCAGGCGAUAUUGCCUUUAGGACAGCGUAUCGUAUACGUGCCUCUACAUUUUCUGUGCAUCUCCAGCAACAUCGGUUUGAGCUAAGUAUCUUCUUCUCAGUUACAUUAUUAGUUCUGUCUCCAACACUAAGAAGCCAAAGAUCAAGAACCAGAUGAGUGUGGUGCUCCAGUAACUGAUCUUAGUGCUACUGAAUAUAGUGCUGCUAUUACAGUAUCGAAUCAUCAAAGGGGUGGCAAUGCUCAAUGGUCUGUCACUGCUCAAGCCAUUGCAGCUGGUACGGAUUGGACGAGCAGAUGAGAAAAAUGGUGUACAGGCGUAGAAAAGUAAGGCUUCUCCCCUAAAUGGCGCAACUGUGAAGUCACACCAUCCGUGACGAGAUUGGAGGCAUGUCAUAAUCAGGCAUGCAAGUCCACUUCGACGGCAUUUAGUGUGAGGUGAUUAUGGAGUUAAAACCCUAAACCACCAGCUUUUCUUUUUCGUGUUGCUCUUCUUCUUUUUGUUUAUGCUUCUCUCGGGUUUCUUCCGGGUCUUCUCUUCUGAAACUAUAUAGUGGUCUCUUCUAUUCGUCUUUCUUUUUUUUUUUCUUUUGAUAUUCCAGGUGAUAGUAUAUUAAUAAGAUUCAGAUUCUUACUCCAAAGGUAAGGUUUUAUUUUUUACAGCUAGGGUUUUUGAUUUGAAGUGGUGGGUUGUGAUUAAUUAGUGGAUUUAAGAUAUAAAAAUUGCAAACUUUUUCUUAGGUCCGGGGAUUUCAAUUGGAUUACUUGGUUAGGGUUUGAUUUUCGGAUUUAGGGUUAAUACAAAGUAAACAAGGUGAAAAGGAUAUGAAUGAAUAUAGUACUUCUUCUUACAGUGAGAAAGGGGAGCUCAAACUGUGAAAAGGAUAUUCCUUUAGUUAUGGAAAAGUUUCCAAAACAUGAAUAUACUGUGGUGAUUUAGGUCGCAAGGAGCAAGAGUAGUUUGAAGAGCAAAAGUAAAUCCACGUACAUUUCUCAUGUUUCUUUGUUAUGAAAUAUUUUAUCUUGGCAACAUUUUGUUACUAACCAUUUUCCUUUGCAGUGCAUUAUUAAGCUUAAACGUCUUCAAUUUAAACAUGUUAGCAGGUACAAUAAAUUAUUUUAGUUAUUAUGAUGAUGGUAUUGUGUGGUGGCUCUGCCUGGGUGGGAUACUAUUUACAUUUACAUGGAAUAACAGAGGCCUGAGUUUAGUGAUGAAGCGUGCUUAUCUUAUCAUAUCUAUUUGGUCCAUUUUUAAUUACCCAUUGUAAUAUAUGCUUAUCAAUUAUAUCUAUUUACUCUUUUUUGCAAGAGUCCCCUGAGGCUAAACAGAUGUUGGAGUUCGGAAAUUUGUUUACUGCACAUUAGGAGAAGAAGAUAAUGCUCACUGCAAUUUGGCGGAAUCUAGCUUUACUUUGAAGCUGAUAUUCUUUUGUACUACUAGCCAAAAUUCUUUUGGAAAGAAACUUCUGUUUACUGCACAUUAGGAGAAGAAGAUAAUGCUCACUGCAAUUUGGCGGAAUCCAGUUUUGAGCUGAUAUCUCUUUGUACUACUAAACAAAUUUUUUUUGGAAAGAAACUUCCUGAAUAAUUAUCUGAAACCCAAGUCAAGGUUCUGUUGAUCUAUACACCGUCAGGCGUGCAACACCGAGUCAAAAGCCAAGCCACAUCUAAUCAAAAAUGUAUCGCGAUGGGGCUGGACGAAGCUGUGCAACACCAAAUCAAAAAUGAAUCGGGACUUGGCGAGGCGAAGCCGAGCCACCCCUAAUUAAAAAUGUAUCGCGGCGGGGAGGGGCGAAACUGUGCAAUAGCAAAUAAAAAAUGAAUCGGGACUAGGCAAGGUGAAGCCAAACCGCCCCUAAUCAAAAAUGUAUCGCGACUAAUAAUGAUUAUGUGUGCGUAGCCGCCCGGGCAUAGCCCGGGAACAAAAUCUAAUUUCUUCAUUAGAGCCCUAUUAAUAAUGCUACGGAAACAUUACUUCAAGACUGAUAAUGUGAGGCACACCAAUUUUUUUUUCUUUUUCUUUUGGGGCAUACUCAAUAAACAUAAAAUAGAGUCGCUACGUAGCUAAACCAACAACCACAU